ensembl:ncRNA W05B10.8 ncRNA
CUUUGAUUUGUCAAUAUUACGCCCAUGUAGGAAUGAACAUGGGUAAAUAUACUUGAGAAAAUAUUAAAUAUAAACGCUGGUAGGUGCUGACCUAGUUUUUUCUGAAUAGAUCCUUGAAUAUGGAACUGAUACUCCAAAU